AUGGUAACAAGAAUGAAACUGGUUGACUAUAUCCUCUACGCAAAACUAGAAUUUGGAGAAGGAACCAAACUGACAGUUCUAGCUACAAAUGUCACUUAUCCUAAAGUCAAGAUCCUACCACCUUCUCCAAAAGAAAUCUGUUCCCAGAACAAGCCAGAUAAAUGGUCAACGUUAGUGUGUGUGGCCACAGGCUUUUAUCCUGAUCAUGUGAGUGUGUCCUGGAAAGUGAAUGGUGAAGAGAGACAGGACAAUGUAUCAACUGACACCUCAGCCCAACAAGACAAGACAACAUUAAUGUACCAUAUCAGCAGCAGAAUGAAAAUUAAAGACACAGACUGGAUGGAUCCUCAAAAAAAUUUCACCUGCACCGUCCAUUUUUUCAACGGAGAUAAAUACGUCAAUGUCACAAACACCAUAAAUGGUCAAAAAGAGAAGCCAAAAGGAUUGAAACUGCUUGGAUUUGGCUACAUCCUAUUCCUCAGCAAAAGCCUGCUGUACGCAUUGAUUGUGGCUGGCGUAGUGUGCAAACUCAAGUUUUCAGCAGAGAAGAAACAAUUACCAGAGGACUGAGAUACCUUGAAACUUUGUCAGUGAGAGGCCAGAAGUGACUUUCUUUAUUAUUUACAAUAUGUGUAAAAUGUCAGUGUAUUUCCCACAUUUUACCUAGAUUCACAUUUUUUUGUUUUAAGCAUGGGAGUUUACUGUAGAUAGUGACUGGAUAUGAAUGAAUAACUAACAAUGAGAAACAGAUUAAGUGGAAUAUGAUAUAAACUGUAUUGGUUUCUGUUUUGUGCUAUGACUAAAACAUUUUACGUAAUUCUAAGGCCUGUUUUAUGAGAAACUGAGAAUAUUUGCAUGUUUUUUUUUUUCUUCCAGUGGAAGAUCUGCACUUUGGAAAGUGUGGGUUGUUAUCUCAGUUACGUAAGAAUCUUCCAUUGCAAUACAAAAAAUAAGACUUUAAAUGAAUAUAUAUUGUGACGUCUGAAUUUCUCAUAAUGAGUUCUGAAGCUUUUUUAACAAUCUGUAGAAGAAGGAACUUACAAAGUGAUAAGAACAAUGUGACUGUAACUGAAAAAACAAAACAAAAACAAAAACAGCAUCUUGAUUUUGUUAAUAUAUAAAUUCUUUUAAUGUAAAAUGUGUUUGUUUUCUGCUUGCA